UACGGGGGGGGCAAGCGUUGUUCGGAAUUACUGGGCGUAAAGGGCUCGUAGGUGGCCAUCUAAGUCAGACGUGAAAUCCCUCGGCUUAACCGGGGAACUGCGUCUGAUACUGGAUGGCUAGAGUUUGGGAGAGGGAUGCGGAAUUCCAGGUGUAGCGGUGAAAUGCGUAGAUAUCUGGAGGAACACCGGUGGCGAAGGCGGCAUCCUGGACCAACACUGACGCUGAGGAGCGAAAGCCAGGGGAGCAAACGGG
rnacentral:rRNA from 1 species